CAGUAGCCACGGUAAUACGAAGGGUGCAAGCGUUAAUCGGAAUUACUGGGCGUAAAGCGUGCGUAGGCGGUUUGUUAAGUCUUCUGUGAAAUCCCCGGGCUCAACCUGGGAAUGGCAGUGGAUACUGGCAAGCUAGAGUGUGUCAGAGGAUGGUGGAAUUCCCGGUGUAGCGGUGAAAUGCGUAGAGAUCGGGAGGAACAUCAGUGGCGAAGGCGGCCAUCUGGGACAACACUGACGCUGAGGCACGAAAGCGUGGGGAGCAAACAGGAUUAGAUACCCGAGUAGUCCCUGUCUCUUAUAC
rnacentral:rRNA from 1 species